rnacentral:rRNA from 1 species
AACGUAGGUGGCGAGCGUUAUCCGGAUUUACUGGGUGUAAAGCGCGUGCAGGCGGCUUCGCAAGUGGGAUGUGAAAGCGCCCGGCUCAACCGGGCGAGGACGUUGCAGACUGCGAAGCUGGAGGCGGAAAGAGGCGAGAGGAAUUCCGGGUGUAGUGGUGAAAUGCGUAGAGAUCCGGAGGAACACCAGUGGCGAAGGCGACUCGCUGGUUCCGUACUGACGCUCAGACGCGAAAGCAUGGGGAGCGAACGGGAUUAGAAACCCCGGUAGUCCAUGCCGUAAACGAUGCCGACUAGGUGUGGGACGGGUCAAACCGUGCUGUGCCGCAGCUAACGUGAUAAGUCGGCCACCUGGGGACUACGGCCGCAAGGUUAAA